UACGUAGGGUGCAAGCGUUGUCCGGAAUCAUUGGGCGUAAAGCGCGCGUAGGUGGUCAUGUAAGUCCGCUGUGAAAGUCAAAGGCUCAACCUUUGAAAGCCGGUGGAUACUGUGGGACUAGAGUACGGAAGAGGCGAGUGGAAUUCCUGGUGUAGCGGUGGAAUGCGCAGAUAUCAGGAGGAACACCAAUAGCGAAGGCAGCUCGCUGGGACGUUACUGACACUGAGGCGCGAAAGCGUGGGGAGCGAACAGG
rnacentral:rRNA from 1 species